rnacentral:rRNA from 1 species
AUUGAACGCUGGCGGCAGGCCUAACACAUGCAAGUCGAGCGGAGCGGCGGACGGGUGAGUAAUGCCUAGGAAUCUGCCUGGUAGUGGGGGAUAACGUCCGGAAACGGGCGCUAAUACCGCAUACUAUCAGAUGAGCCUAGGUCGGAUUAGCUAGUUGGUGGGGUAAAGGCCUACCAAGGCGCCGAUCCGUAACUGGUCUGAGAGGUUGAUCAGUCAAACUGGAACGGGGACACGGUCCAGACUCCUACGGGGGGCAGAAGAGGGGAAUAUUGGACAAUGGGCGAAAGCCUAAUCCGGCCAUGCCGCGUGUGUAAGGAGGGUCUUCGGAUGGUAAAGCACGUUAAGUUGGGAGGCGGUACCAACAGAAUAAGCACCGGCUAACUUCGUGCCAGCAGCCGCGGUAAUAC